rnacentral:rRNA from 2 species
UGAUUGACGUGCUUGCACUGAUUUCAACAUUGGAACGAGUGGCGAACUGGUGAGUAACACGUGGAAAACCUGCCCAGAAGCAGGGGAUAACACUUGGAAACAGGUGCUAAUACCGUAUAACAACAAAAACCGCAUGGUUUUUGUUUGAAAGGUGGCUUCGGCUAUCACUUCUGGAUGGUUCCGCGGCGCAUUAGCUUGUUGGUGGGGUAACGGCUCACCAAGGCGAUGAUGCGUAGCCGACCUGAGAGGGUAAUCGGCCACAUUGGGACUGAGACACGGCCCAGACUCCUACGGGAGGCAGCAGUAGGGAAUCUUCCACAAUGGACGCAAGUCUGAUGGAGCAAUGCCGCGUGAGUGAAGAAGGGUUUCGGCUCGUAAAACUCUGUUGUUGAAGAAGAACGGGUGUCAGAGUAACUGUUGACAUCGUGACGGUAUUCAACCAGAAAGCCACGGCUAACUACGUGCCAGCAGCCGCGGUAAUACGUAGGUGGCAAGCGUUGUCCGGAUUUAUUGGGCGUAAAGCGAGCGCAGGCGGUUUCUUAAGUCUGAUGUGAAAGCCUUCGGCUUAACCGAAGAAGUGCAUCGGAAACUGGGGAACUUGAGUGCAGAAGAGGACAGUGGAACUCCAGGUGUAGCGGUGGAAUGCGUAGAUAUAUGGAAGAACACCAGUGGCGAAGGCGGCUGUCUAGUCUGCAACUGACGCUGAGGCUCGAAAGCAUGGGUAGCGAACAGGAUUAGAUACCCUGGUAGUCCAUGCCGUAAACGAUGAGUGCUAGG